rnacentral:rRNA from 1 species
UACCAGCUCUUCGAGUGGUGUGGAUGUUUAUUGGGCCUAAAGCAUCCGUAGCUGGCUGGACAAGUCCCCUGUUAAAUCCACCGAUUUAAUCGUUGGAGUGCGGGGGAUACUGUUCGGCUAGGGGACGGGAGAGGCAGACGGUAUUUUCGGGGUAGGGGUGAAAUCCUAUAAUCCCGGGAAGACCACCAGUGGCGAAGGCUGUCUGCUAGAACGCGCCCGACGGUGAGGGAUGAAAGCUGGGGGAGCGAACCGGAUUAGAUACCCGGGUAGUCCCAGCUGUAAACGAUGCAGGCUAGGUGUUUGGGCGGCCACGUGCCGCUCUAGUGCCGCAGGGAAGCCGUUAAGCCUGCCGCCUGGGGAUACGGCCGCAAGGCUGAAGCUUAAAGGAUUGGGCGGGGAGCACCACAAGGGGUGAAGCUUGCGGUUU